GAUUUGUAUAUUGUAAACUGACCUCAUCAUUCAAGUUUUUAAACUUUUAAUGCAUCAGGAGUUCAAAACAAUUUUAUAAAUCUGUCAUGCUAAACUUAUUGCGUUCUGGCAUUUCCAUCCAAUAUCUGGCAUGUCAUUUGCUCAUUCAUGAGUAGGUAGAACACAUUGCUGCGCUUCCUAGAUCUACAGUUGACUGUCUGAUGUGAUGGCACAACUAAAAGAUGUGGAAAUUCUCAUUGCUCAUGCAAAAUAUAAUGUUCUAUCUCUUUAGUCUACACAAGCUAGGCAACAUAACCAAAUCUGCAAAAUGAUGCACUGAUGCCACAGAUAGUGCAGCUGCCACCAGCUUUACAUUGCUAAUGGUGUAACAGGGACUCAUACCAGUUGUUAAUGGACUUGCUUCUUGGCUUCCUUCGAUUGAACCUAUACUAUAUGACAGUUAAUGAACUGUAUGCACACAGAUGUAUCCUACAACACUUGAAAGCAUGUUUGUUUUAGCUGAUAUUUGAUAAUACCAUGCCCACCUUGAUGUUUAUAGUUUAUUUCAUUUGGAGUCCCCACCCCCCUUGUAGCCCUUUACAUUCUUGCACAUCUUCCAUUUAUUAAUUGCUACUUUUAAGAUGUUGCCUUUGCCCAUUUGUAGUCCAUAUGCAUCUUCAGGACAAUCCUUUUACAUUAAUUUCUUAUCUCAUUCCAUAAAUUCACUGGCAUCCCAAUCCACAAGACCAGCUUUCUGGAAGAACCCUCUCCUAAUCCUCCGUAGGAGAGUGCAGUGGCUCCUCCUAGUAUUAGGGGGACCAUUGAAGUGUUAAAAGAUGUGGUCCUAUCAGUCACUUCUAUAUUAAAGGCUCAACUUGUAAAUGGCAAAGAUGCUAAUGUUCUCUUAAAAAGUUUGUUUAGUAAAUAACAAUUCAAAGCCUGGAAGGUCCCAUUUCUUUCUUCCUUGGGAAGAACUAAUGGGAGAUAGUAUACUAUUUUAAAUGCUUUGUUAGCAUCCUAACUCUUCACCCUGUGUGAACAGCUGAUUCUCACAAGUGGCAUACGUUUAGGUUGAUCAGAAUUUUGUCAUCAUUUGGCAGUUGGUUCACAAGAACACUUGAUCAUUUGCUCUUGAACUGAUGAGUUUACAAAAGUUUGCUCAUCUUCACUGGUGAGGAAGAAAAUUUGCUUUGUACUGACAGAACCAUUGUGUGGUUGAAUCUUCAUGCUUCUGGUUGCUGAUUCCUAGGAAGAGUUGCAUCUCGAGAACUGCAGUCAACUGGCUGUGCAUACACACAUCUCUCGGUGCUCCACUCAGCAAACUUCAUAUAAGGUACGAGCAAGCACUAUUUGAUUCCAGUGGUGUGGGGGAAUUCCUAGUUGUUGGCUAGAAAAUGGCCACAGAUCCAUGUUACGAUUGGAGAGGGGAUGGUAAUUCCAAUGGCUAUCGACCAAACACUGACAUGACUGCAGCUAAGUAGCACAACGACAAGGCGAUCGACGGGUCACCUGAGAAGAUCUCUGUGUUGCAUGCAUGCACAAUGUGCAUGUGGUGGGAUCGAUCUCGCUCUCAUCACCAGCCUGUGACAAGGAGGACCACAUGAACUCUAUCCGAGUCCCACGGGUGGCUCAGGCGGUGCAAGGACGAGGAAGGAGAAGGCGCAGUGCAGUGGGAUGAGGGUACGUACGUAUCAGGUGAGUGUUGUAGGGUGGUGAUGGAUUUCUUCUUCCUGAGACGGGCGGGCGAUUAAGCUGCUGUAUCUCACUCGAGCUAAGAUUUUGUGGACCGAGACUAGAUUUUGUGUCUUGGAUUUCACCAAAUCUAUAGAAACGUUGGAGGUGUAUCGUCCAACAUGAUCAAAUCUGUUGUUGUCUGGCUAUCAAAGAGAAAUCAAUGUGCAGAUUCCAUCUUAUUUGUGGCCAUCUUCCCAAUAUUCAAUGCAAAUAA